AACGAACGCUGGCGGCAUGCCUAACACAUGCAAGUCGAACGAUACCUUCGGGUCUAGUGGCGCACGGGUUCGUAACGCGUGGGAACCUUCCCUUAUGUUCGGCCUACCUCCCCGACAGGGGUUCUAAUACCGGAUAAUGUCUUCUGACCAAAGAUUUAUCGCCUUUGGUUGUGCCCGCGUUGGAUUAGCUCGUUGGUAGGGUAAAAGCCUACCAAGGCGACGAUCCAUAGCUGGUCUGAGAGGAUGAUCAGCCACACUGGGACUGAGACCCGGCCCAGACUCCUACGGGAGGCAGAAGUGGGGAAGAUGGGACAAUGGGCGAAAGCCUGAUCCAGCAAGGCCGCGGGAGUGAUGAAGGCGUUAGGGUUGUAAAGCUCUUUUACCCGGGAUGAUAAUGACAGUACCGGGAGAAUAAGCUCCGGCUAACUCCGU
rnacentral:rRNA from 1 species